UCCCUGGUGGCUCAGUGGUUAAGAGUCUGCCUGCCAGUGCAGGAUACACAGGUCCCAUCCCUGUUCUGGGAA
rnacentral:tRNA from 1 species